rfam:Linderina pennispora strain ATCC 12442 DL89scaffold_9, whole genome shotgun sequence.
GAUCCCAUUGUAUAGUGGUUAUUACGUUGCCUUUACACGGCAAAGGUCACGAGUUCGAUCCUCGUUGGGGUCA